GACAGAGGGUGCAAACGUUGUUCGGAUUUACUGGGCGUAAAGGGCGCGUAGGCGGCUUGGUCAGUCCCGUGUGAAAUCCCUCGGCUCAGCUGAGGAACUGCACGGGAAACUGCCUGGCUUGAGUUCGGGAGAGGGAAGCGGAAUUCCGGGUGUAGCGGUGAAAUGCGUAGAUAUCCGGAGGAACACCGGUGGCGAAGGCGGCUUCCUGGACCGACACUGACGCUGAGGCGCGAAAGCUAGGGGAGCAAACGGG
rnacentral:rRNA from 1 species